ensembl:lncRNA
CUUGGUGGCUCUCAAUGGCUCCCAGUAGCUCGAAGUGGCCCCUCUUAGCUCUUGGUGGCUCCCAAUGGCUCCCAAUGGCUCCCAGUAGCUCCCAGUAUCCCCUCUUAGCUCUUAGUGGCUCUUGGUGGCUCUCAAUGGCUCCCAAUGGCUCCCACUACCUCUGAGUGGCCGAGUGGGGGGUGGGAGAGCACCCUAACACUCCAUGCUUCCUGCAGCCAUCAUCCCAGCAUCUCACGUUGGGUUUGGGGGCACCUCUUGGGACCAGGUCUCAUCCUUCCCCCCCCCACCAUGGCCCCGUCCUGCUGCAGGGAGAGCAAUAACAGUUCCAGGCAGAACAUCAGUGCCUUUCUUUGAGUUUGGAAGUGAUUGCUUCUCGUUCCAGCUCGGGAAUCACUUUUGGAGUCACUUUUCAUCUCCAGAUACUCAGAAGCAAAGUGAAAGAGAGCCCAGAAGGAUCCCGUGCCAUCAUCAGAGUAAUUUUCAAGUACCCCGUUGUGGUUCCCAGUGCCUUAUUGCCACCCUGGAUCCAACAAGAGGUAUCGUGGUUCAUCUCACUCUUCUCCUCCUCUGCCUCCCUCCCCGGGACUCACUCACAGAAUCCCCCAUCUUGGGGGUGGUACCCCAUACCCUCGGGGUGCUCACAUCGUCCCCAUGUCCCCAAAGUCCUCAAACCAUCACCCAUCUUGGGGUGCUCACAUCACCCCCAUGUCCCCAAAUGCUCACACAAUCCCCCAUCUUGGGGUGCUCACACCAUCCCCAUGUCCUUGGGGUGCUCAAGCCAUCACCAUUCUUGGGGUGCUUAACCAUCCCCAUUGUCUUGGGGUGCUCACAUCACCCCCAUGUCCCCAAGGUCCUCACACCAUCCCCAUGAUCUUGGGGUGCUCACAUCACCCCCAUGUCCCCAGGAUGCUCACAGCAUCAUCCAUCUUGGGGUGCUCACACCAUCCCCAUGAUCUGGGGGUGCUCAUACCAUCACCAUUCUUGGGGUGCUCACACCAUUGCCCAUCUCGGGGUGCUCACACCAUCCCCAUGUUCUUGGGUUGCUCACACCAUCCCCAUGAUCUUGGGGUGCUCAUACCAUCACCAUUCUUGGGGUGCUCACAUUAUCCCCAUGUUCUUGGGGUGCUCACAUCACCCUCAUGUCCCCAGGAUGCUCACAGCAUCAUCCAUCUUGGGGUCCUCAAACCAUCCCCAUGUCCCCAAGGUCCUCAAACCAUCACCCAUCUCGGGGUGCUCACAUCACCCCCAUGUCCCCAAAUGCUCACACAAUCCCCCAUCUUGGGGUGCUCAUACCAUCCCCAUGUCCUUGGGGUGCUCAUACCAUCACCAUUCUUGGGGUGCUCACAUCACCCCCAUGUCCCCAAGGUGCUCACCCCAUCCUGCAUCUUGGGGUACUCACACCAUCACCCAUCUCGGGGUGCUCACACCAUCCCCAUGAUCUUGGGGUGCUCACACCACCCCAAUGUCCCCAGGAUGCUCACAGCGUCACCCAUCUUGGGGUGCUCACACCAUCCCCAUGAUCUUGGGGUGCUCACAUCACCCCCAUGUCCCCGAAUGCUCACACCAUCCCCUAUCUUGGGGUGCUCACACCAUCCCCAUGUCCCCAAGGCCCUCAAACCAUCCCCCAUCUUGGGGUGCUCACAUCACCCCCAUGUCCCCAAA